rnacentral:rRNA from 1 species
GACGAACGCUGGCGGCAUGCCUAACACAUGCAAGUCGAGCGAGCUGAUCCUUUCGGGGUGAAGCUAGCGGCGGACGGGUGAGUAACACGUGGGUAACCUGCCUCAUAGAGGGGAAUAGCCUUCCGAAAGGAAGAUUAAUACCGCAUAAGAUUGUAGUACCGCAUGGUACAGCAAUUAAAGGAGCAAUCCGCUAUGAGAUGGACCCGCGGCGCAUUAGCUAGUUGGUGAGGUAACGGCUCACCAAGGCGACGAUGCGUAGCCGACCUGAGAGGGUGAUCGGCCACAUUGGGACUGAGACACGGCCCAGACGCCUACGGGAGGCAGCAGUGGGGAAUAUUGCACAAUGGGGGAAACCCUGAUGCAGCAAUGCCGCGUGAGUGAUGACGGCCUUCGGGUUGUAAAGCUCUGUCUUCGGGGACGAUAAUGACGGUACCCGAGGAGGAAGCCACGGCUAACUACGUGCCAGCCGCCGCGGUAA